UUAUAGAAAAUAAUGAACUUUAUCACAAUAUGCUAAUUUUUUUAGAAGGACCUGUAUAUGUUCCCUCACAUCAUUGACCACAAGUGUGUUCAAUUUUGAGUUGUUGUGUUCAACCAGUGACACCUGUGCUUUAACAGUGUUUGCCACCUGCGCUCACAAUUAUGCAACACAGGUGGAUCACAAUCAAAAUGUGUUGGCAAGUUGUGUCUAAACAGGUAAAAAGUGUGUAUGGUUUUGCCAAAAGUGUGACUGAUUCAAUCAGUGGGUUCAGGUAACUGAGCAUUUGGUUCAGACAAAAUGGUCUAGUGAAUUGACUAUUGAUAAAAACUGUAAGUAUAUUGUAAGAACAUUAAAGCAGCUUUUUGAAUUCCAGGUAACCCAGUGUUGGAGUUGGGAGGAAUGUCUGGGGACUUCUUUUUUCGGUUGCUGUCAAAAGUUAGGUAGAACAAUCACAAAACUGCUGCACAUUAGGUAAUUCUGCAAUCCAUAUCAUUUUGAGUUCACACAUUUACAGUAUUUUUUUAUUAUUUUGUGCACAAUUAUUGGUUCGGUACCUUCAUAACAAAACUAAAAUACUCAUAAUCCUUAAAAUACUUUUAAAAGUUUCACAAAAGCAUGACAUUAAUUCCUCUUCAUUGUUAACUAUAUGAUUACACACUAUUUCAUGUUAAAGAAUGUAUUUAAUUUCAUUAUUGAAUACUGAAAAAUAAAAAUGGAAACAAAAUUAAACAAGAUUUUUAUAAUACCCUGAAUUUUGACAACUCACUGAAGGAAAUUUUACACUCUAUGUUGCUAUGUAUAGUGACUAUCUCUGAUUUUCUGUAAGUUUUACCUCAGUUGUUGAAUGUUACUGCGUCUUUUUGUAUUAACAGUACCAUGAAGAAUACUAUACACCAACAAUUUUACAAUAUGAGUGAGUAGUUAGUUACUUUUCCAGCCUGUUACUGUUAGAUUGUUAACAUAUUUUUCUGUUUCUUUUGUUGUCACUAAACAAAACAAACAAACCAAAAAAUCCCUGUUGUAUUCACGCUGUUUGUUUUUCUGCUACUUCUUGGAAGGUAGCUGAGUGCUAGUGGAAGGUAUCCAAUCCCACGGCUCUGUCAGUGCAUAUGUGUGGCUGAGCUCGCGAGAUGGUGGAUAAAACAGCCUUUACGCUGUGAAAGUAAAUGCAUUAUUCUACAUUUAUGGGUAAAACAGACAAAAUAGCAUCUUAAUACACAUACAGCUAGGUGAUAAGAGUUUCAAUGUGAACAAGCACCUCCAAAAACACAUCUACAACAGUUGCCAGUUCAAACAGAGAUGUCAGCGCUACAGCUGGCACUUCCAAAACAAUGGAGGUUGUUUUGGAGCUAAAGCUCCAAAGCAGCUAAAGCUGUCAAUCCGAGGGAGACUGUGGAGUUUGUUUCCGGUCACAUGGAGGUGAAUGCAACCUCUAGAAGCAGAAAAGGAUCAUAUCAUGUAUUUAAAAUAAAACACCUCUCUAGUUUUAUUAUGUAUUAAUUACGAAUGCAAUUUAGCUGCUGAUCAUUUAAAAGGCUUAUAUUUGCUUUUCUCAGUACGUAGUGUGAGUUAAUAUGAAAAGGUUAAACUAAUGUUUCCAUAUAGUUGAAGAUAUGCUGCCUAACAAAAAGAACAUUGAGCUCUGUACCAACUGCUGUAUUAUGCUGUAAUAUUCAGGAAUAUUUUUGACAGUUUCUGAAAUAGACUUUCAUCUGUCAGCAAAUGCUCUUUUUAAAUAAUUUUCCAGUUACACACAAAGUGCUUUAAGAGAGCUCCUUGGUGUUUGACAAAUCAGAGUGUCUACAUUUACGUGAACCAUCUUUAAACUCUUCAAAAGACUAAUUGAUUUCUCUAAACUUCAAAUAUUUUGUAUUUUCAUUACGUAAUCAGGACCACAGUCUUUUUUCAGAAGAACAUCCGCUCUUUCAUCUGCUUUUUAAGAAUUACAUUUAAAACCAAAUGAGAAAAAGUGUUUAGUGAUUAUGCUUCAAAGCUGGACCUGCCAAAGGCGCAGGACAGUGAAAAUAGUUUAAUUUUAGCAAUGAGUUCACUUAAAAGAGCCACCUCUUUCAAAUGCGAUUCACAGAUUUGAGCACAGGACCAAGGAAAUUGGAGGAAAUUAACAGACAUGCAACUCUUCACAGCAGACAUUUGGGUUCUUUGCAACAAAGCUACACAAGUUAAAUUUGCAAUGUUGUUAUCCUGUAAUUUGCAGAAUGACAAAAUGCUAGUCUGAUGUACUAAGCACCUUCAAUUGCAGCUCAUUACCUCAGUCAGGGGGAAGCGUUUUACAUGCAUGGAGAAAAACUAUUAAAAUACUUCUAUUAAAUAGAAGAAUAAAUAUCCGGUUGCAGCACAAUGUGUCUUCACAUUGGCCCAAAUGUGAGAUAUGCUGUUACCAUGGUAAUGUGGUGAUUGCUAUAAACCUCCUCCCAGCUGUUGGUGGGUUUUGUGUGCAGGAGGGCGAGGGUAAAAAGAAAGAGGGAGACUGAGUGUUUGUGUGCGUGCACACAUGCAUUGAUGGCGCCUCCGUGCUGUGUUCCCCUUUCAGCCCUCAGAAUAGUGUCUCUACUAAUCCGUGAAAGUUGCGGCGCUCUGAACUAGUGGCCAAAGCUUUUUCCACUGAACCAAGGCCCAGGGUCUGCGCUCGGCUUCACACUUGAUUGGUCCCUCCUGCAGGAGACCUCUCCUCCCCACUGGGCGUGGGCCCGUCCCCCUUGCUUGUCUCCCCCAUCACUGCUGUGUCGCCUCUCCCCACCUUAAUUACCAGCGCUUGAGUCCUGGAUUCACCAACAAACCAUUAAAGUCUGGCCAGCCUAACCUCACAAGCCCUCACACAUCCCACACUUAGCACCUUCCCGGAGACAAGCCCAACUCCAUCAACUAAGCGCCUGUUCAUGCCUGGGAUGCCCCGCAGCACUCCGAACUUGGCUGCUGUCGAUCCAGGCCGGUAUAAAAAGCAGGAGCUGGCAGCUGUGCUGUUGUCCUGCUCCUCCUGCAGUGGUGGAGGUGAUGUGUUUAUUUGGCCUGCGUUGAAAGGAUGAGAUGUACCUAUCUCCUUGUUGUGCUCUUUGAAAGAACUCACCCUUGGGAAACAGUCCCUUGAAAAAUGGCCGUCUCUUACUUGCACUUAGCUCUGGGAGUAACCCAGUCAAUGUUGUGUAAAAAGCUCACCCUGCACUUGCUUUUACAAACUUUCUACAUAUUUUCAGCAAAUGACAUAAAUGCCAAGCUGUGAUCAUUUUCCAGUGUGUAAAAUUAGAGCUAGAAAUAAGUCCACCUUCUAUUUUGGUGUGCCCACUAACUUUCAGACUGCUGCAAAAAUAGUCAGAGCAUAUGGGAGUGAGCAGGUGAACUGUGGUGACCUGGCAAACGGUCCAGAGACUGAUGAGAGUAGGGUACACGUCAGAAGGCAAUGGGUGUGCUGGCACAAACUUUACCCAGAAUGUGGAUCAGACAGACACCCUGCACUCGUUAGUUUAUUGCUCUCUUAUUAGGAACAUUUUUUGCCUUGGUUGGAUUGGCAGAGUCCCGCUAGCCACCCUCUUCACAUGGCCCAGGCUCUGUCAGGACUGAUCAAAAGACGUUUCUUCACAUCUCCAGACGCCAGGGAGAAAAAGGAGAAGAAAAGAGGGAGAGAAGAAAAGAGCCAGAAGGGGGCAUACUGCUCUCUCUUUACUCUGGUCUUUUGGUGAAUGAGGACUUUUCACAAUACCCCUUCCUUUCUCUUUUUUCAUUUUUUCACUGGCAAAAAAAGAGAGAAAAAAAUAGCAUUUCCCAACGCAUUUGCGCCAAAUUGUUUUUGCUAUAUCAAAAACAAUUAUCCUCAGGUUAAGAAUGUGCUUGCAAAAUUACAACCAUUCCUGGGGGAGAAAGCAGUCUUCACGUCACAAAUUCGACUGGCUUCCAGGCAGCCAAGACCCCCUCGAAGUGGUAAUGAAAAGUGUAACUUUAGCCUCCCAGCUGUACGUCUCAAUCCAUAAUCCUUCCCCAAAAACCUCACCGUAGAGCCGCCUACCACUCCCAUGGCGUUCCCAGCCUUUGCCGGGCUGGGCCUGCACUGAUUUAUGUGGCAGUCCUGAGUCAUACUCUCAACCUGAAAAGGAUUUGCGCUCCUAUAUUUACAGGGGUAGUCAGGCCGGCUCUCUUGAAAUACAGAAAGCUCCAUCUCCGGCCCUCAGUCCCCACGCCGUUUUCCCCUUCUCUGCCUCGGUUACAAGCAUAUGUGGGACCUUACAAGAAUCAGAUGAGACUCUAGUGUUUAUGAUGGAGUCUUUCUGCAGAGGAGAGGUCAGAGUCAAUGCACUCGCGCCUUCCAGCCACAUGGCCACAUUAUGGUAUGCAGAUACCCAGACACAGCUCUACAACCACACUGGCUCAGACCACCUCCGAGGUUUCAUUAUCAGUGCUGGGACUCACUAAUGGCUUGAUGGCUUCACUGUGCAGGCUGCUGGAGAGGAGAAUCCAGG